AGAGUUUGAUCAUGGCUCAGGAUGAACGCUGGUGGCGUGCUUAACACAUGCAAGUCGAACGAUCCUUCGGGAUAGUGGCGGACGGGUGAGUAACGCGUGGGAAUCUGCCCUUAGGAGGGGGAUAACGGCUGGAAACGGCCGCUAAUACCCCAUAUGCCGAGAGGUGAAACGAAUUUCGCCUGAGGAUGAGCCCGCGUCUGAUUAGCUAGUUGGUGGGGUAAAGGCCUACCAAGGCGACGAUCAGUAGCUGGUCUGAGAGGAUGAUCAGCCACACUGGGACUGAGACACGGCCCAGGCUCCUACGGGAGGCAGCAGUGGGGAAUUUUCCGCAAUGGGCGAAAGCCUGACGGAGCAACGCCGCGUGAGGGAUGAAGGCCUCUGGGCUGUAAACCUCUUUUCUCAAGGAAGAAGAACUGACGGUACUUGAGGAAUAAGCCACGGCUAAUUCCGUGCCAGCAGCCGCGGUAAUACGGGAGUGGCAAGCGUUAUCCGGAAUUAUUGGGCGUAAAGCGUCCGCAGGCGGCCUUGUAAGUCUGUUGUUAAAGCGUGGAGCUCAACUCCAUUUAAGCAAUGGAAACUACAAGGCUGGAGUGUGGUAGGGGCAGAGGGAAUUCCCGGUGUAGCGGUGAAAUGCGUAGAUAUCGGGAAGAACACCAGUGGCGAAGGCGCUCUGCUGGGCCAUAACUGACGCUCAUGGACGAAAGCCAGGGGAGCGAAAGGGAUUAGAUACCCCUGUAGUCCUGGCCGUAAACGAUGAACACUAGGUGUCGGGGGAAUCGACCCCCUCGGUGUCGUAGCCAACGCGUUAAGUGUUCCGCCUGGGGAGUACGCACGCAAGUGUGAAACUCAAAGGAAUUGACGGGGGCCCGCACAAGCGGUGGAGUAUGUGGUUUAAUUCAAUGCAACGCGAAGAACCUUACCAGGGUUUGACAUCCUGCGAAUCCCUUGGAAACGAGGGAGUGCCUUCGGGAGCGCAGUGACAGGUGGUGCAUGGCUGUCGUCAGCUCGUGUCGUGAGAUGUUGGGUUAAGUCCCGCAACGAGCGCAACCCACGUCUUUAGUGGCCAGCAUUCAGUUGGGCACUCUAGAGAGACCGCCGGUGAUAAACCGGAGGAAGGUGUGGAUGACGUCAAGUCAUCAUGCCCCUUACAUCCUGGGCUACACACGUACUACAAUGCUACGGACAAAGGGCAGCAAGCUCGCGAGAGUUAGCAAAUCCCAUAAACCGUGGCUCAGUUCAGAUCGUAGGCUGCAACUCGCCUACGUGAAGGAGGAAUCGCUAGUAAUCGCAGGUCAGCAUACUGCGGUGAAUACGUUCCCGGGCCUUGUACACACCGCCCGUCACACCAUGGAAGUUGGCCAUGCCCGAAGUCGUUACUCCAACCCUUGUGGAGGAGGACGCCGAAGGUGGGGCUGAUGACUGGGGUGAAGUCGUAACAAGGUA
rnacentral:rRNA from 1 species